UACGUAGGCAGCAAGCGUUGUUCGGAAUUACUGGGCGUAAAGGGUGCGUAGGCGGCUUUUUAAGUUUGGUGUGAAAUCUCCCGGCUCAACUGGGAGGGUGCGCCGAAUACUGAGAAGCUAGAGUGUGGGAGAGGAAAGUGGAAUUCCUGGUGUAGCGGUGAAAUGCGUAGAUAUCAGGAGGAACACCGGUGGUGUAAACGGCUUUCUGGACCAUAACUGACGCUGGAGGCACGAAAGCGUGGGUAGCAAACAGG
rnacentral:rRNA from 1 species